rfam:Tropilaelaps mercedesae isolate Wuxi-XJTLT scaffold0000013562, whole genome shotgun sequence.
AAAAAUGUAGCUCAGAUGGUAGAGCGCUCGAUUAGCACGCGAGGGGUACCGGGAUCGAUGCCCACCAUUUUUA